CACAAAUCCUAAAAUACCCUCAUUUUCUUCCUUACCCUUCUGUCUAUCCCAUCUCUCUCUCUCUCUGGUUCGUCUCCUUCUUUGCCCGACACCAUCACAAACUCACGGAAACUACGGCAAUCCAACCACCUACAAGCUUCUCAUCGUCCAAAGCCUCAAAGACCCUUUUCCUUCCUGCUAACAUCAACCCAAAUCCCAUACUCAUCUCUUUUCGGCAUAUACUAUUUACAUAGCAGCAUCAACCCAAAUCCCAUGUCUCUCUCAUUCAACAACUCAACCUCACCUAAUUUCUAAAAGCUCCAUUCUCAAACUUGUCGCCUCUUGAAACAGAACACAAAAAGAGUGAAGGAUCAAAGUAAGGAUCAAUGACUAAUUGUUGUAGUCUCUGAAAGGAGUAGCAGCGGCACAUGCGAUGAUUCUAGAAGAAAAGAACAUAUGCAGCACAAGAAAUAGUGACGGGAAUGGUGAACAGGAUGCCAAUGAUUUUUUGUAUUUGAUUAGAGCAGAAGAUGAAAUUGAAUUUGUAUUUUAGUUUAGACUCAAAUCUAUAGAGUAGGUGAGAGAUUAAUUUCAGAGAAAACUUCACUUUGAGAGAAGCACCAUUCUUGAAGAAUUUUUUGUGU
rnacentral:misc_RNA from 1 species